rnacentral:rRNA from 2 species
AGACCCGAAACCCGGUGAUCUAGCCAUGGGCAGGUUGAAGGUUGGGUAACACUAACUGGAGGACCGAACCGACUAAUGUUGAAAAAUUAGCGGAUGACCUGUGGCUGGGGGUGAAAGGCCAAUCAAACCGGGAGAUAGCUGGUUCUCCCCGAAAGCUAUUUAGGUAGCGCCUCGUGAAUUCAUCUCCGGGGGUAGAGCACUGUUUCGGCUAGGGGGCCAUCCCGGCUUACCAACCCGAUGCAAACUGCGAAUACCGGAGAAUGUUAUCACGGGAGACACACGGCGGGUGCUAACGUCCGUCGUGAAGAGGGAAACAACCCAGACCGCCAGCUAAGGUCCCAAAGUCAUGGUUAAGUGGGAAACGAUGUGGGAAGGCCCAGACAGCCAGGAUGUUGGCUUAGAAGCAGCCAUCAUUUAAAGAAAGCGUAAUAGCUCACUGGUCGAGUCGGCCUGCGCGGAAGAUGUAACGGGGCUAAACCAUGCACCGAAGCUGCGGCAGCGAACGUAUCACCCAAGACAACUUUACGGAGUUGACGAUUGACGGAGCGAAGCGACGUCAAAGCGUUCAUUAAAGUCGAGUUGGCUUAGGGAUACGUUCGUUGGGUAGGGGAGCGUUCUGUAAGCCUGUGAAGGUGUGUCGUGAGGCAUGCUGGAGGUAUCAGAAGUGCGAAUGCUGACAUAAGUAACGAUAAAGCGGGUGAAAAGCCCGCUCGCCGGAAGACCAAGGGUUCCUGUCCAACGUUAAUCGGGGCAGGGUGAGUCGACCCCUAAGGCGAGGCCGAAAGGCGUAGUCGAUGGGAAACGGGUUAAUAUUCCCGUACUUGGUGUUACUGCGAAGGGGGGACGGAGAAGGCUAUGUUGGCCGGGCGACGGUUGUCCCGGUUUAAGCGUGUAGGUGUGUGUUCCAGGUAAAUCCGGUUCACUUUAACACUGAGGCGUGACGACGAGGCACUACGGUGCUGAAGCAACAAAUGCCCUGCUUCCAGGAAAAGCCUCUAAGCAUCAGGUAACACGAAAUCGUACCCCAAACCGACACAGGUGGUCAGGUAGAGAAUACCAAGGCGCUUGAGAGAACUCGGGUGAAGGAACUAGG